ensembl:lncRNA
GCAUUCUUGCUUUCCAUGUUUAGCUAAGCCAGGUCAUAAGCACAUGUUUAACUGUGAGGUUGUCUCUGCUGUUUGAAGAUAGUGCCUCUGAGAGGUACUGGUGACUGUUCUAGUGCAGAGGUCUCCAUUCCCACUGAUCAGCCAGCAGGUGGAAAAUGUGUUUACAUACACCAUUUACUUCUUUACAGAAUGAACUCGGUUAUCUCAAACCACUGCAGAAGGCAGUCUGAACUAGCCCAUGUGCAGUGGAGCAGCUCAAGGAGUGUCCACACAUCCCCUUCUGCUGGCAGAGAAGGAGCUGUGAACUUCAGACUUUGGCAUGCUGUCAUAAAUGGUUUGGCCAGACAUGGAAUGGGGCCAGCAGGGAAGAUGCUGCAUGAGGUGUGGGCUCAGCACUGGUCUCACCAGGGCUUGCAGGACCAAAGGACACCUCACAGGGAUUUGGUUAGAAGGUAUCCUUCUCAUUGGCUGCUUUGCUCUGUGGCUGGUCUCUUGUCUGACCUCUGUCCUGUGACUAGCCACAUGAGGCCUCAUGUGCUGAGAGGAAAGAAGGCUGAUGUCAGGCUGUGGUGGUGGUGGUAAAAUUAGGGUUAAAGUAGGUUUUCUUCCCCUGCCUCCAUGAGCUGUCCUGUGAUUACCCUUGGGGGAGCACCCCAGCUUCCCCAGCAGUUGGGACUCUUCCAAAGAGGGAGAAGGACAAAAAAAUCACCAAAAGAGAUUUUAGCAUGGCCUCUUAAACACAAGUAUUCUUGUCUGAGAUACUCUGAUAUCAUUAAAAUGAACAUGAUAUAAAUAAGUAGAUAUGGUAUCAGUGAUGUUGAAGUUCAUUGAAAUGUUUGGUUAAUAAUACCUGGAAAAAGGUGAAGCUCUGUCAGUGAACUGUGCCCUGUAUCAUGUGAUUAACCUGAAGCUGGACAGAUUUGUACCUUUUCCUGGCCACAGGACCACCAGGUACCACUACACCGAGCUGCAGUGUAUACACAUAAAUAAAAAGAAAGGUUGUGCCAAAAUUCUUUGAUGGAACAGUUUGCAUUAUUUAAUGCCAGUUUCUCCAAAUCAGAAAGAACUGAGCCAACUUACGGGACAAUGAAAAGCAACCCAUCUUCAGGACAUCUUGAGAAGGGUGGAGAUGAAGCAUAUUGCCAUGCAAAAUGUCCCAACGGAGACCAGCUUCUUGUUUGGAGCUGCAGGCUGUGAGGAGUGGUGCAUGACCAGGUCCCUGUGCCGUUGCCUUUGCCUACCUCCAGGAAAGUGUCUGGCUGUUGCUGACAAGGGAGAGCUGCGAGUAUCUGGGGUGACAGCUACUGCUACAGAAAAGGGGGAAAUUACCUCCCCUCACAUCAGCGGUUGCUGCCCUAUCUCUCCAGCCCCGCUGCAGGAGUGGCAAGCCCUAGAAAAGCUCUAAGAACCUCUGGUACCAGGUAAGCCAAGAUCCUCUGACUUUCAUACGUAGUACUCAAUGAGAAGCCUCAGAGCAUAAGCUAAUAGACAGCAGUUCUUUUAGUGAAACCUUUAUGUUAAUUCAAUACAGACUACUUAUGGAAUUUCCCUUCUCUGAGAAAAUCUCAACUUCUAUAGAGAACAGCACUCAGUCUUGUUCUUUUUCUUUUCAGAAUUUCAGAAGUUCCCUUGAAAAUUCCCCGAAGCCUUAAUAAUAAUGAUUCUCAGUUGCAUGUCAGGAUGUAAUGUACAAUGUAAAGUUUUCACAUUUGAUGCUCUGCAUAGUUAAAUUUACCACAGUGCUUCACAUUCAAUUUAUCCCAAGAAUUCAAGCAAAAUCACAUACUGUUCAACUAGAGAUUUAUCAUGGGGUGCUUAACAAUGAAUUAUUCAAGACUACCUAAUGUAUCGUGGUUUCUUGAGAGCCUAAUGUGUGUAUGUGUAUAUAUUUAUAUAUAAAAUACCUGUGAGCCAUUACAGAAAACCAGUUUCUGAACAAGGUUUCAAGACUAAAAUGAGAGGAUGUUUAAAAAUAGGUGUCCUCCUAAAAAUACAGCAGAGUUUAAGAGAGAAGAAAACCUCAAUAAUCUUCCCUGUUCAGGUAUACACAUAGUCAUUUAAAGAGGAUCUAUAUCCUGCAGGACUCCUUUUAGGUGAAAUUUUAAAAGUAUCUAAAUUCUGCAGUGAAGGUGGUGUUGUGUUUUUUUGGUUUUUUUUUUUUUUUCCCUCUGUGCAUAUUGAUGUGGUGUUUUAAAUCUCACUGAAAAGUUUUAAAGAAUUUCCCUCAUUUGCAGGUUUGAGAAGAUUACUCUGUGCCUCCUACUAGCAAUCAUCCACAGUACUUUUCCAAAAGUACUUUACUGAGUGGGUAAGCACUUCCUUUUUACUGAUGGAAAAACAGAAAAAGAUGAAGUGGUCUGCCCGGGAUAAACAGCUUGGUAUGCUGCCUUUUCAAAGCCCUUAGGAUUGCAUUUUUUUACCUGACCAGGGGGCAGCCUGCUGGAACGACAUUGAACUGGGCUCAAGGCAGCCCUUUGGCCCUUAGUUCUGCCCGCUGGAGGGGAACCAGCUGAGGAGAGGCCCCAGCUCACAGCUGCCUCUUUGGCUGCUUUUUCAGAUGGCCGUGGAAAUAGCCCCAAGGGGGCCAGAUUUUCAGUUCUUCGUUUUGUCCUCUGACCCAAACUGACUUUGCAAUGACUGGUUUCAUGUUCAAGGGAGCAUCAGCUGCCACCACAUGAUACACAUCCCUGAGGACCUGUCUCCUCUUUGACACCUCAUUGAGUCUUUCUUGUUAAGACAGUUGUGCUUGUCUGCAGGAAUAUAAUAAGGGCACUUAUUAUAUUCCUGUGCACACAGGUGUAAUGAGAGGGCUGAUUUUCACUGAUAGGUGGGAGGUGGUUUGACUACUUCUAUCAGAAGAAACUUUUCGUGCUGGCUGCAGGGGGUUUAAUAUGGUCUCAUUUCAACUUGUAGGCUGGAGCAUCUCUUUUGAACUUACUCAGGUCCUUGUGAAAAGAUGAGUAACCUAGAACUCCUUUGGCACCAGCAGCAGCUGUGAUGGCUCCUUUUUCCGAAGGCAUCUUGUGAGAAAGGGCCACUAUCUGACACUUUCUCCCUGAUGACUCUGGUGAUCACAAUCUGAGGCUUUCAGACAAUGAGUAGCAAAGAAGAAUCUAGAUGCUAAGUGUCCCAGAGCCUGCAGGACAGACUGUAAGGGAGAGCUGAGCAGAACAAGUAGAGGUUCAGACCCAGCUUCAGAGGUCGCAUGGUCCUGGGUUUGUGACUGGUCAGACUUGGUACACAAAUUUAUGUUUAUGGCACUUGUAGGAUCAUAUUCAAGCUGUUGCGCUUAGAGUAACAGCAACUCUGUUCUUUAGCAAGUCAGAGUCCCAAGUCUAAAAACCAGACAAAGGAAAAACAAGGGAGGGGGUGGAGGGCGGGACAGACAAGGGAGAAGACAAGCACUGUCUCUAACAAUAAAGAAUCAUCAUUUGCUUGUCCAAUAGGAGCAGCAGAACACAUUUCUCCUGAAGAUACUCUUCGCGGGUCUGAUUUUUCCAGGAAUCUCCAGUUCAGCAAAGAAUACUUUAUCUUACUCUAACCACCAGUUGCAAACUAGCCAGGGAUUUCACUUACAUUUGCCUCUCGUGUUGCCUCUGGGCAGGACACAGGACAGCUUACCCACGGCAGAGAACCUGCCACCACUGUAAGCUGGAAGUGUUCUCAAGGUAUAAUUUAAGUGAACUCAAGAGGAAAAAUAGCCCAGAGACAGCGCCUGUGGCCAAAAGCUCAGGCAGAAGUGGUGUCAUGUCAGUCCACAGCUAUGCAGCGAGCUACUCUGCAUCUUCCUGUCUUGGUUUCUCCCCUGUGAAAUGGGGAUUAAAAUACUCAUCUGUCUUACAAACAUGAUUAAAUGUAGGUUGAAAGAACUCUCUGUAAAAAACUUGAAAACUCUGAGAAUGGUGGUCCUGUUUGCUUUAAGGCAAGAUCUGGUCUGGACACUGAAUUCCAAAGGGCAAGACAUAGCAGGGCCAAGGUGCUCACAGCUGAGCACACAGACUGCCAGGGGAGUGCAGGCACGGGAGAACACGGAGGUGAUGCAAGAAAUAUUUAUUUGGGUUUGUUUGCUAAAGACAUCACGUACUGGCUUCAAAAGAAAAACCCGAUCGAAAAACCGAGUGGCAAUGAAAAGUUGCCAACACUGCUUUGUCGGGGAGUUUGGGUGACAAGAAUAAAAAAAAAAAAAAAAAAAAGGAAAGAAAAAAAAAGAAAAAAAAAAAGAAACGUCAAAUUCCCCUUCUCAGUAGCCAAAGCCCAGCCCGGUCCCCCUCGCCUUCUGGAGGGUGGCCCGGCGGUCCCCUACCCGUGGCGUGGGAGAAUGGGAGAAAGGAGGGCAGCCCCUGGCCGGGCAGGGUGACCCGGCACGGAGAGCGCACACACACACAGACACACGUGUGUGCUGUG